rnacentral:lncRNA from 1 species
AUAGUAAUUUGCAUACCCUGAAAGAUUCAACGACUGGCGAUCUUGGGCACCCAUGUUUGAUUUAUGAAUUGUGCAGAAAGGGAGACGUUAUAACAUUCUCAUUGGAAGAGGUGGUGCAUCCUAAACCACCCAUCACUAGGAGUUGGGCUUGGAAGUUCAUGAGUCGGCAGGGCUCCACUAGUACCACACCCUCGGGAGCGGAGACAAGACCAGCUCAAUCACGUAGACCCCGCUCGUCUAGUGACCCGAGCAAUGACCUCGCUGCCCAGUUAUGCGGGAUGUAAUUGCAAAUGAAUACGCUGCAGAAUGUCAUGUAUGAGCAGUUCCGUUACCAAAAUGAGUUUAAUGCAGUUUUGGGCUCUAUCUACUCGGAUAGGACUUUUCCUCAACCACCGCUACUUCCCGAUCACAACUCCGACCCGCCUCACCGUGACAUUGACAGCGACGGAGACACUUGAUAUCUCCGCUCAGUUACGUCCUCUUCCUUUCUCUUUUUCUUAACAUUGGGGACAAUGUUUGGUUCAAGUUUG